rnacentral:rRNA from 1 species
UAAUACGGAGGGGGCCAGCGUUGUUCGGAAUUAUUGGGCGUAAAGGGCGCGUAGGCGGCUAAGCAAGUCGGAGGUGAAAUCCCUCGGCUCAACCGAGGAACUGCCUCCGAAACUGCUUGGCUUGAGUCCCGGAGAGGGUAGCGGAAUUCCCAGUGUAGCGGUGAAAUGCGUAGAUAUUGGGAGGAACACCAGUGGCGAAGGCGGCUACCUGGACGGGUACUGACGCUGAGGCGCGAAAGCGUGGGGAGCAAACAGGAUUAGAUACCCUGGUAGUCCACGCUGUAAACGAUGGGCACUUGGUGUUGCGGGUAUCGACCCCUGCAGUGCCGGAGCUAACGCAUUAAGUGCCCCGCCUGGGGAGUACGGUCGCAAGGCUG